rnacentral:lncRNA from 1 species
UUACAACUGGACCAUGAUGCACGUGAAAAUCUUGAUUCCAUCAUUGUUCCAUGUUGUGGAGAAUUAAGGGAACUAAAGGGUGGACACUAACAUAAGAUCAUUGAGAUCACAGAAAAUGCUGGAAAAACAAUCUUAAAUGACUACACGAUGGUCACUCGAAGAACAUAGAAAAGAUGAAGAACUCAACAAAAACAGUUGCUAUGGUGAGUGAUAAAUAUUAUAAGCAAACAUGGAGUAGCAUUGCACUGCUGGAUGAAGUUGUCUGUUCUCCUCCAUCAUAGUUUAAAGAAAAAGCAGAAGAGUUUAUCACGCAUUUGCUAAAACAGGAUCAGAAGACCUGUGAUAUGCUUGUUGAUCUGCAAAUUAAAACAAAUAAUGAAAUUGCAUGGAAGAAGGCGAGAUAACGAGAUAUCCUAUUAAGUGUUAAUUGUAAUGUAUAAUUUUUAAUUUUUAAUAUUUUUCAAAAACAGAAUUUUGUAAUACUAUUUAAUAUUGAAU